GACGAACGCUGGCGGCGUGCUUAACACAUGCAAGUCGAACGGUGAAGCGCCUUCCUUUUUGGUGGGUGUGGAUGAGUGGCGAACGGGUGAGUAACACGUGAGUAACCUGCCCCCUUCUUCUGGAUAACCGCAUGAAAGUGUGGCUAAUACGGGAUAUUCUGGGUCUGUCGCAUGAUGGGUCUGGGAAAGAUAUUGUUUCGGUGGGGGAUGGGCUCGCGGCCUAUCAGCUUGUUGGUGGGGUGAUGGCCUACCAAGGCGGUGACGGGUAGCCGGCCUGAGAGGGUGGACGGUCACACUGGGACUGAGACACGGCCCAGACUCCUACUGGAGGCAGCAGUGGGGAAUAUUGCACAAUGGGCGCAAGCCUGAUGCAGCGACGCCGCGUGAGGGAUGGAGGCCUUCGGGUUGUGAACCUCUUUCGCCAGUGAAGCAGGCCUGCCUCGUUUGUGGGUGGGUUGACGGUAGCUGGAUAAGAAGCGCCGGCUAACUACGUG
rnacentral:rRNA from 1 species